CGACGUUAGCGGCGCGCCUAACACAUGCAAGUCGCACGAGAAAGGGAGCAAUCCCCGGUAAAGCGGCGCACGGGUGAGUAACACGUAGGUAAUCUGCCUCUGAGUGGGGAUAACCUUCCGAAAGGAGGGCUAAUACCGCAUGAGACCACGCCUUCGAGAGGAGGAGGGGUCAAAGCCGGCCACUAUACAUAAGCUGGCGCUUGGAGAUGAGCCUGCGGCCCAUCAGCUAGUUGGUAGGGUAAUGGCCUACCAAGGCGUAGACGGGUAGCUGGUCUGAGAGGAUGAUCAGCCACACUGGAACUGAGACACGGUCCAGACUCCUACGGGAGGCAGCAGUGGGGAAUCUUGCGCAAUGGGCGAAAGCCUGACGCAGCGACGCCGCGUGAGUGAUGAAGGCCUUCGGGUUGUAAAGCUCUGUGGAGGGGGAAGAAUAAGGGUGACCCAACACGUCGCCCGAUGACGGUACCCCUUUAGCAAGCACCGGCUAACUCUGUG
rnacentral:rRNA from 1 species